AACAUCGCGCACCUGCGGGAACCUGCGGAAGGAUCAUUACCGAGUGAGGGCCCUCCGGGUCCAACCUCCCACCCGUGUUUAACGAACCUUGUUGCUUCGGCGGGCCCGCCUCACGGCCGCCGGGGGGCACCCCGCCCCCGGGCCCGCGCCCGCCGAAGACACCUGUGAACGCUGUCUGAAGUUGCAGUCUGAGACACUAGCUCAAUCAGUUAAAACUUUUAGCAACGGAUCUCAGAUCGG
rnacentral:misc_RNA from 1 species